rnacentral:rRNA from 1 species
UGACUGAGCGGCGGACGGGUGAGUAACGCGUGGGCAACCUGCCUUACACAGGGGGAUAACAGUUAGAAAUGACUGCUAAUACCGCAUAAGACCACGAAACUGCAUGGUUUUGUGGUAAAAACUCCGGUGGUGUAAGAUGGGCCCGCGUCUGAUUAGGUAGUUGGCGGGGUAACGGCCCACCAAGCCGACGAUCAGUAGCCGACCUGAGAGGGUGACCGGCCACAUUGGGACUGAGACACGGCCCAGACUCCUACGGAAGGCAGCAG